GAAUGAUUAACAAAGGCGUCCGAAGAAAUCGUUGUUGGAAGGUGGCCAAGCUGGAAAGAGACGUUGCUUUGGCCCUGCAAAUGCAGCCCAUUAUUCACUUGUUGGUGAUGGAGGAGACUAAAUUAGCGUCUUCUGUGGUGCCAGAAGCUUCCUUUUGGAGUAGUGUAUUGUAUGGGUCCAUUCCCUUUCAUGCAGCCAUUAUAACCUACAUCUCCAGUCCAGACACAUCAUCAUCAGUAGGAACACCACUUUCACAUGCCAUGGAGCACAUCAAGGCCACCCCACUGGAACCAUCGGCCCUCAGAGUCUGCAAAGCCAGCACUCCAGCUCUGUAGCAUAGCCUUGAAGCCAUAUGCUCACGACAAGCAGCACUUCUGGGAACACGCUGCAGAGACAGCUUGAGUUCUUCCUUAAUUUCUUCUCAGUAGGGUUUAUAGUUUUCUAUGUACAGGUUGUGUACUUUUUCUUUGUGUGAAUUUAUUUCUAUUUGAAACUUCAGAUGCUGUGGAAAUUGUAUCUUUUUUAAAAAUGUUCUGUUUAUUGUUGGUAUGUAGAAAUAUAACUGAUUUGCAUAUUAGUCCUUUAUCCAGCAACCUUCUUAAAUUCACUUUCUAAUUCUAAUAAUUUAUCUGUAGAUUGUUUUGGAUUUUCUAUGUAUGUAACUAUAUCAUUUGUAAGUAAUGACAGCUUAUUUCUUCCUCUUCCUCACUCUGACGUUCCAAAAUGUCUCCUCUUUUCUAUAAGUACUUUAAAAAUAAUGAUUAAAUAAUUUAUUUAUCUGGAGUUUAUUUUGAGCACUGAGUAUGAAGUACAGCUCUAAGCUAACUUUUUUCCCAGAUGGAUAUCCUGAUUUUUGUGUAACAGUUAUUAAAUAAGCCAUCUUUCCUCAAUAAUUUGAAAUGAUACCAUUAUAAUAGAUUAAAUUCCUAUGUGUAUUUAAGUUCAAUUUUUUUUUUUUUUUUUUUUGAGACGGAGUCUCGCUCUGUCCCCCAGGCUGGAGUGCAGUGGUGCGAUCUCUGCUCACUGCAAGCUCCGCCUCCCAGGUUCACACCAGUCUCCUGCCUCAGCCUCCUGAGUAGCUGGGACUACAGGCGCCCGCCACCACGCCUGGCUAAUUUUUUGUAUUUUUAGUAGAGACGGGAUUUCACUGUGGUCUCGAUCUCCUGACCUUGUGAUCCGCCCGCCUCGGCCUCCCAAAGUGCUGGGAUUACAGGCGUGAGCCACCGCGCCCGGCCUUGAUUUCGUUUUUGUGGGUUUUUGUUUUUUUUUGGAUCACUGAACUUUUU
rnacentral:lncRNA from 1 species